rnacentral:lncRNA from 1 species
GUGCGUGACCUCGGAUUUUUUCUUUCAUCGGUCGAUGCUUUGGAUCGACGGCCAGGCGGUGCUCCAUGACUUCCGUGUCAAUCUCUGGCAUGUCUGCUGGAACCCAAGCGAAAACGUCCGCAUUCUUUCAUAGAAAAUCGAUGAGAUGCGUCCGCACCUCUUCCCCCAGGUUGGAGCCGAUCUUCACCACAUGCUCCAUAUUCCCAUCGUUCAAAGGGAUCGAAACCAGAUCUUCGAUUGGGCCACCCCUCUCCUCAGUGAGGUCGUCGCGGGCAUCCAGCCCAUCAACUAGACAGGGGUCGGAUUGGUCACUUCUUUGCAAGGCUAUGU